GAUGAACGCUGGCGGCGUGCCUAAUACAUGCAAGUCGAGCGAACAGACGAGGAGCUUGCUCCUCUGACGUUAGCGGCGGACGGGUGAGUAACACGUGGAUAACCUACCUAUAAGACUGGGAUAACUUCGGGAAACCGGAGCUAAUACCGGAUAAUAUAUUGAACCGCAUGGUUCAAUAGUGAAAGACGGUUUUGCUGUCACUUAUCGAUGGAUCCGCGCCGCAUUAGCUAGUUGGUAAGGUAACGGCUUACCAAGGCAACGAUGCGUAGCCGACCUGAGAGAGUGAUCGGCCACACUGGAAGUGAGACACGGUCCAGACUCCUACGGGAGGCAGCAGUAGGGAAUCUUCCGCAAUGGGCGAAAGCUUGACGGAGCAACGCCGCGUGAGUGAUGAAGGUCUUCGGAUCGUAAAACUCUGUUAUUAGGGAAGAACAAAUGUGUAAGUAACUAUGCACGUCUUGACGGUACCUAAUCAGAAAGCCACGGCUAACUACGUG
rnacentral:rRNA from 1 species